rnacentral:lncRNA from 1 species
UUAAGAAAGUGGGACUUAAGCUUCAUGCUUCACUCUCUUUCCACGGAUCGAAACAUCCGGAGAUAGGUCUUCCUGAUUGGGUGGCAAAGAUCGGUGAAGCUGAACCUGGGAUAUAUUUUACAGAUAGAUAUGGACAACAGUACAAAGAUUGUUUGUCGUUUGCAGUUGAUGAUGUUCCUGUUCUUCAUGGGAAGACUCCUAUGGAGGUGUACAGAGGUUUCUGCGAUAGCUUCAAGUCUGCAUUUUCAGAUUACAUGGGCAACACAAUCACGGUAUGAUGUCAUAUCAUCUUUGUUUUGCACUUACAUUCUGAGUUUAAUAUCUACUCUGGUUUUUAGUUCCUGAUUUUUUGCACAUUGUUUUGCAGGGAAUCACAUUAGGUUUGGGACCAGACGGUGAGCUAAGAUAUCCUUCUCAUCAACAAGAUGUCAAGUGCUCUGGCGCGGGAGAAUUUCAGUGUUACGACAAACACAUGCUUACCGCUCUCAAAGCCUACGCUGAAUCCACUGGAAACCCUCUUUGGGGUCUCGGUGGUCCACACGAUGCUCCUGCUUACGAUCAGCAGCCUAAUUCCUCCUCAUUCUUCUCAGACGGCGGGUCCUGGGAAUCUCAGUACGGCGAUUUCUUCUUGUCUUGGUAUUCGUCUCUUCUCACCUCUCACGCAGACCGAGUCCUCUCUGUUACUUCAUCUGCAUUUAGCGGGAUUGGAGUGCCUCUAUGUGGGAAGCUACCUCUCUUACACCAAUGGCACAAGCUAAGAUCUCAGCCUUCUGAGUUAACAGCUGGAUUCUACAGCUCUAAUGGUCAAGACAGGUACGAGGCUAUUGCAGAGAUCUUUGCAAAGAACUCUUGUAGAGUGAUAAUACCGGGAAUGGAUCUAUCUGACGAACAUCAAUCACCUGAAUCUCUCUCGAGCCCCGAGUCAUUACUUGCCCACAUCAAAGCAUCCUGCAAGAAACAAGGAGUCGUUGUUUCAGGGCAAAACUCGUCCACCCCGCUGCCUGGUGGGUUUGAGAGGAUCGUUGAGAAUCUGAAGGAUGAGAAUGUAGGAAUUGAUCUGUUCACUUACCAGAGAAUGGGAGCACUCUUCUUCUCUCCAGAGCAUUUCCAUGCUUUCACAGUCUUUGUCCGGAACCUGAGCCAAUUCGAGUUGUCCUCGGACGAUAAAGCAGCAGAUGUU